AAGCAGAUUGCGCGUAGACAACAAAGCCAUCGUCAGACCAGUUGCUACUGGCCCAGACUGGUGCGAAAGGCCGGCUCCUCCCGCUACUUACACCGCAGCCAGCCAGCUUUUCCAGACCGGGGCUCAAAUCGACUUUUAUUUGAGAACCAUUUCUGAUUAACGUAAAGCUGGCUGCCAGAGUUUUAGUGCCUGCCAACCUGCUACAAACUAAGCAAACAGAAAUCAUCUGCUGGGUAGUGACUUACUGAAAGGAAAUGAACAUUCCUUCUCACUGCAAGAGUCAGGUCCAGAGGAGACACUGGGGAGAAACAGCUUGUUCUGUAUUACUGUCCAUCUACUAUGUAACAGCCUAUGGAUGUGUCUCAAAGAAGCAAGUAAAGCUCGGAGUGUUUCUCUAA
rnacentral:lncRNA from 1 species